rnacentral:snoRNA from 14 species
AAAUGAUGAUAUCACCUAAAAUAGCUGGAAUUACUGGCAGAUUACUAGUGGUGAGCCUACGAUUUCCUGAAG